rnacentral:lncRNA from 1 species
GCAUUUGCAGCAGGAAGGCUUCGAGGUAACGUACUUGCCGGUUAAAACCGACGGUUUAGUUGAUUUAGAGAUGCUGAGAGAUUCUAUUAGACCGGAUACCGGUUUAGUUUCGGUUAUGGCUGUGAACAAUGAGAUUGGCGUGGUGCAACCUAUGGAGGAGAUUGGUAGGAUUUGCAAGGAGCAUAAGAUCCCGUUUCAUACCGAUGCUGCUCAAGCUAUAGGGAAGAUACCUGUUGAUGUUGAGAAGUGGAACGUUAGUUUCAUGUCGAUGAGUGGGCACAAGAUCUACGGACCGAAAGGUGUUGGUGCUAUGUACGUUAGAAGGAGGCCGAGGGUGAGGCUCGAGCCGUUGAUGAACGGUCCGGUGAGUUGCCGCCGUAUCUAUGCUAUGGGAAGAAACUUGAAAAGCUAAUUAGUUUCAGUAAUCAGUUAAGCGGCGAGAUCCCGGAAACUUACGGUGAGUGCGACUCGCUUAAUUAUAUUAGAAUGGCGGAUAACAAACUCUCCGGCGAAGUUCCGGUUAGGUUUUCGGAGCUUCCUCUUACUCGUCUCGAGCUAUCCAACAACCGAUUACAAGGUUCGAUUCCUCCGUCGAUAUCCAAAGCUCGUCAGCUCUCUCAGCUCGAAAUCUCCGGAAACAAGUUCUCCGGUGCGAUUCCGGUGAGAAUCUGUGAUCUCGGAGGACUCAGGGUCGUCGAUCUCAGCCGUAACCGUUUCUCAGGAUCUAUCCCGUCUUGCAUUAACAGAUUGAAGAAUCUGGAGAGAUUGGAGAUGCAGGAGAACAUGCUCGACGGCGAGAUCCCGAGUUCGGUGAGUUCAUGCGCCAAGUUAACCGAGUUGAAUCUCUCCGAUAACCGCCUCCGCGGCGGAAUCCCACCGGAGCUCGGGGAAUUACCGGUUUUGAACUAUCUGGAUCUCUCCAACAACCAACUCACCGGCGAGGUUCCGGCGGAGUUGUUGAAGCUGAAGCUUAAUCAGUUCAACGUCUCCGAUAACAAACUCUCCGGCAAGAUCCCUUCUGGUUUUCAACAAGAUAUUUUUCUACCGAGUUUUUUGGGUAACCCGGAUCUCUGCGCCCCGGAUAUGGAUCCGAUUCGACCUUGCCGAUCCAAACCCGAGCCCCGGUUUAUCCUUUUUAUCUCCGUCGUCUGCAUCGUUGCACUAAUCGGAGCUUUGGUUUGGCUUUUUAUCAAAACCAAACCGUUAUUCCAGAGAAAACCGAACCGGACCGAUAAAGUAACCAUUUUCCAGCGGAUCGGGUUCACAGAGGAAGACAUAUACCCGCAAUUAACAGAAGAUAACAUAAUCGGGUCGGGCGGGUCGGGUUUGGUUUACAGAGUGACACUCAAAUCAGGCCAAACGCUCGCGGUGAAGAAACUUUGGGGUGGACCGGGUCAUAAACCCGAAUCCGAAUCCGUUUUCAGAUCCGAGGUAGAGAUUCUGGGUCGGGUCAGACAUGGUAACAUAGUGAAGCUUCUCAUGUGCUGCAGCGGCGAAGAGUUUCGGUUUCUAGUGUACGAGCAUAUGGAAAACGGCAGCUUGGGCGACGUUUUGCAUUCAGAGAAAGAACAUCGCGCCGUUUCUCCGCUGGAUUGGACGACAAGGUUUUCGAUCGCGCUUGGUGCAGCUCAAGGACUUGCUUAUCUACAUCAUGACUCUGUUCCGGCGAUUGUUCACCGUGACGUCAAAAGCAAUAAUAUAUUGUUGGACCAUGAGAUGAAGCCACGUGUUGCUGAUUUCGGUUUGGCUAAACCGUUGAAAAGAGAAGACAAUAAUGGUGUCUUUGAUGUUUCUCCUAUGUCUUGUGUUGCUGGAUCCUACGGCUACAUUGCUCCAGGUUCGAAUUCUAAAUGCUAAACCGAAAUAACAAAUAUUUUUUACUGUUAUUUUUUAUUCUGUUGUUGUGAUUGCACAUGCAGAAUAUGGUUAUACGUCGAGAGUGAAUGAGAAGAGCGAUGUGUAUAGUUUCGGUGUCGUGUUACUCGAAUUGAUUACGGGUAAAAGGCCAAAUGAUUCUUCGUUUGGGGAGAAUAAAGACAUUGUUAAGUUUGCAAUGGAGUCAGCUUUGUCUUACUCUUCUCCAUCACCUGAAGACAAAGCUAUGAAUCAAGAUUCACUUGGAAAUUUUCGAGAUCUUCGCAAGGUUGUGGAUCCAAAGAUGGAACUUUCUACGAGGGAAUAUGAAGAGGUAGAGAGAGUUCUCGAGAUUGCAUUACUUUGCACGUCUUCGUUUCCUAUUAGUAGGCCGACCAUGAGGAAAGUAGUAGAGCUGCUCAAAGAGAAGAAGCCACUUGAGUGAGACGGUGCUCGUUUCUUCAUCUGGUUUUAAUACUAAGAUUGUUACUUAAUCAUAGGUGGGCUACUGGAAAACUAAUUUUAAAAACUUAAAUAGCUAGUUAUCUUUUUUUUUGUUAAUUUAAAGAUUAAGAAGCAUGGACUAAGCUAUAAGAUUUUGCAAACUUUAAAUUUAAUAGUCUAAAAGACAAUUAUUGUUGAUGUUCUCGAUAAACCAAUAUACGAGGCAGAUAUAUGUACCAAUCCUCUUCGAAUAAACAGCGUUGGUGUAACUCAUGCUCCAAAAGCAUUUUGCAUCACCAUCAAGAGUGUUUUUGCUUCAAGAGGGAUCUAUGUUCAAGUUUAUUCCAAGACUUACAUUGAAGACAAAUGCCGAUGUUUGAAUUGUUAGUACCUUCUACUCUUGCUCGUUUUAUCUUAAAUUAAUCAAGAGUUUUAUUGACGUUAAUCUAAAGAUAUGAUAGCUUUUGUAGUCCAAUUAAUAAUCUCAUUAAAGAUUCAUGUUAAAAUUGAGUUCAAAUUUCAGAAAGACGAUUCAUUUACCCAUUAUACCACCAGUUAAAUAAGAACUUAACAUUUUUUUGGUUAUAGUAAAAAUAUAAUUUUAGACAAUUGAUCUUCAUAAAUCAGUUAAUAGAUAUACAUAUACAAUUGUAAUAUGUAAAUUUUCAUAAGACAUAUGUCAGUUGUAGAGUUCAUGAUAGCAUAAAUAAAAAUGCUAAACAUGAAUUUUUACAGUUGUCCAGUUUAGAAUGUAAUAAUAAUAAAUAUAAAUUAAUGUUGGAAACACAAAUGUUUUUCUUUUACAAACUAAAAAAACUCUUGGGCCAAAGAAUAUGGUAUUGGGCAGUAACAUCUGGCCCAUUAGAUAUCCACAAGCCUUCUUCUUUCAAUUUAGGGCUCCAGAGACGACCACGUCGCCUCUGUCACGAAACCGCCAGUGACGCUAUCGUCUUUCACAUCCGAUAAGCAUAAGAAAAGCAAAUCGAAGAGAAGAGAAACAACGCAACAAUUGGAAAAAAAAAUGGCGUCUAAGGCUAUCUUCUCCACAAUCCGCCGAUCUCUAACGAAACCACGCGGCGGCGCAGUUUCCCGAGGCCACCACUUGUCCACCUCCGCCGCGACGGCGUCCGAAUCCUACGCAGGCGACGAACACGCGAUCGUGAUGAAAGGAGUUCGAAUCUCAGGCAGGCCUCUCUACCUCGAUAUGCAGUCGACGACCCCGCUCGACCCCAGAGUCUUCGACGCGAUGAACGCCUCUUCCAUCUACGACUACGGGAACCCGCACUCGCGCACGCAUCUCUACGGCUGGGAAGCGGAGAACGCCGUCGAGGUGGCUCGAAUCCAGGUCGCGAAGCUCAUCGGCGCCUCGCCGAAGGAGAUCGUGUUCUUAUCCGGCGCCACGGAGGCGAACAACACGGUGGUGAAGGGCGUGAUGCACUUCUACAAGGACAAGAAGAGGCACGUGAUCACCACGCAGACUGAGCACAAGUGCGUUCUCGACUCGUGCAGGCAUUUGCAGCAGGAAGGCUUCGAGGUAACGUACUUGCCGGUUAAAACCGACGGUUUAGUUGAUUUAGAGAUGCUGAGAGAUUCUAUUAGACCGGAUACCGGUUUAGUUUCGGUUAUGGCUGUGAACAAUGAGAUUGGCGUGGUGCAACCUAUGGAGGAGAUUGGUAGGAUUUGCAAGGAGCAUAAGAUCCCGUUUCAUACCGAUGCUGCUCAAGCUAUAGGGAAGAUACCUGUUGAUGUUGAGAAGUGGAACGUUAGUUUCAUGUCGAUGAGUGGGCACAAGAUCUACGGACCGAAAGGUGUUGGUGCUAUGUACGUUAGAAGGAGGCCGAGGGUGAGGCUCGAGCCGUUGAUGAACGGUGGAGGGCAAGAGAGGGGGC